rnacentral:rRNA from 1 species
AUUGAACGCUGGCGGCAGGCUUAACACAUGCAAGUCGAGCGGAGAUGAGGUGCUUGCGCCUUAUCUUAGCGGCGGACGGGUGAGUAAUGCUUAGGAAUCUGCCUAUUAGUGGGGGACAACAUUCAGAAAGGAAUGCUAAUACCGCAUACGUCCUACGGGAGAAAGCAGGGGAUCUUCGGACCUUGCGCUAAUAGAUGAGCCUAAGUCGGAGUAGCUAGUUGGUGGGGUAAAGGACUACCAAUGCGACGAUCUGUAGCGGGUCUGAGAGGAUGAUCCGCCACACUUGGACUGAGACACGGCCCAGACUCCUACGGGAGGCAGCAGUUGGGAAUAUUGGACAAUGGGGGAAACCCUGAUCCAGCCAUGCCGCGUGUGUGAAGAAGGCCUUAUGGUUGUAAAGCACUUUAAGCGAGGAGGAGGCUACUGAGACUAAUACUCUUGGAUAGUGGACGUUACUCGCAGAAUAAGCACCGGCUAACUCUGUGCCAGCAGCCGCGGUAAGAC